CAGGCCUUGACAUCCAAUGAACUUUCCAGAGAUAGAUUGGUGCCUUCGGGAACAUUGAGACAGGUGCUGCACGGCUGUCGUCAGCUCGUGUCGUGAGAUGUUGGGUUAAGUCCCGUAACGAGCGCAACCCUUGUCCUUAGUUACCAGCACGUCAUGGUGGGCACUCUAAGGAGACUGCCGGUGACAAACCGGAGGAAGGUGGGGAUGACGUCAAGUCAUCAUGGCCCUUACGGCCUGGGCUACACACGUGCUACAAUGGUCGGUACAGAGGGUUGCCAAGCCGCGAGGUGGAGCUAAUCCCACAAAACCGAUCGUAGUCCGGAUCGCAGUCUGCAACUCGACUGCGUGAAGUCGGAAUCGCUAGUAAUCGCGAAUCAGAAUGUCGCGGUGAAUACGUUCCC
rnacentral:rRNA from 1 species